AACGCGAAGAACCUUACCUGGGCUCGAAAUGCUAUGGACCGGGGUGGAAACAUCCCUUCCCCGCAAGGGGCCGUAGUAUAGGUGCUGCAUGGCUGUCGUCAGCUCGUGUCGUGAGAUGUUGGGUUAAGUCCCGCAACGAGCGCAACCCUUACUUCCAGUUGCCAUCAUUUAGUUGGGCACUCUGGCAGAACCGCCUCGGAUAACGGGGAGGAAGGUGGGGAUGACGUCAAGUCCUCAUGGCCUUUAUGUCCAGGGCUACACACGUGCUACAAUGGCCGGUACAAACCGUCGCAAACCCGCGAGGGGGAGCUAAUCGGAAAAAGCCGGCCUCAGUUCGGAUCGCAGUCUGCAACUCGACUGCGUGAAGCUGGAAUCGCUAGUAAUCGCGGAUCAGAACGCCGCGGUGAAUACGUUCCCGGGCCUUGUA
rnacentral:rRNA from 1 species